UUAUCUUGCAUCCCUUUCAUAUUUCUCUCAUCCACUCUUCCUAUUUUCAGAAGUUAUUAUUUCAAUCUCAAAUGUUCUAUCUUAUUUAUCUAACUAGUUUAUAUGUUGCUGUGAAGUGAACUGUAAAUUACAUAAAACGUGAAGUAGAAAAAUAGAAAGUGAUAGUUCUAGUUAGAAUUUAAGAUUUUCAUGAAGUAUUUGUUAAAGAACUACCUUGGUGAGAAAUAUGACAGAGAUAAUUUGCCAUUCUCAUCACAACAUAUCAAAGAUACAUGCUGUCAACAUAACUUAUUCUUGAAGUUAAUUUUGAUCACCUGAAGUAUGGUUUGUCCAGUUUCUCCUUUGUGAAGUUACUCUCCUUCUCCUGAUGUACCCUUUAGAAUUAUGUCAGUAUGUGCAGCUCAUACUGCAGGAAUGGGGAAAUAUGUUCCAACUUCCUGAGGAUGCAGUCUCUACAUAAAUAAUGGGAGAUCCUCCUGUGAGGGAGAUUUGUCUAUUCUUCCCCAUUUAUUUAUGUAUUUGAUAUCAAUCUGGAGACAGAUAUUUUAUGCAUUGGUUUAUCAUCUGAUAUUAUAUAUAUGUUGCUGAAAUCAUUUCAGCUUUGGCCCUUGGAAGCUCUUUUGGUUAGUUCCUCUUUUCCUUUGACAUGUAGUAUAUGUGUGCUUGGUGAUGCAUGUGCACAUGCAGAAGGCAUAGGAGAGAUUCUUGGCCACUCCUGGCGUCAGGUAGAAAAAUUGCAAGCCUUGUGAUGAAGAGGCUAUUUGCCACAGGUGGUGUCCUGUCAAUUUUCUUCUGUGACAAUGUAUGCAUGUUUUGAGCACUGUCUUUACUUUCUGGCACUACAGAGUGCCCCAGGCUCAUGUGUAUAUUUCCACCCCUGGUCCUCGAAUCAGUUAUUUCCUCUUUAAUUAGAGAAUGGUAUUAGAAGCAAACAUCUGGGUGUCAAUCUAUUUUAAAUGUAAUGUAUUUUAAGAGAUUUCAUAAAACCAUUUGAGCUAAAUUUGGAAAAGUUAGUAUAAGUAUUCUUUAAAAAUAAAACAAAACCUUGCAUGUUUUCCCCCUAGACUAGCAUGCAUUUCAGAAUGUUUAAAGACAAAAUGGAAUAAACACACAUAGCAAUGUUUCCAAAUUUACUUGUUAGAUUUAUCGGAAUUGAUGGUAAGUAUUUAACUUGGACUAGAAAUUAUUCCACUGAUAUGACUAACUGAUAGAUGUUCUAAUUAAAAAGUAAAUUAGGCCAGAAAUAGCAAGCACUGUGAAGAGCAUGUAUAUUCUGCCUGAUAACAUUUUUGUCAUCUUAAAGGAACUGAAGAAAUGAGAUGAUAAUUAUUAUUGUUGCCUUAAGUAUUAAAUACUCAUCUUUUAAACCCAGGCUUAGUAGCUUGAAAGAGAACUGUGUUUAUUUACCAUCAAAAGGAGGUAUGGAGAGAAAUUAAUUAAAACAUUAUCUUACUGGAUACAGAUUUCAAGCUUUUUCAUCAGAGAUGCUGGCUAUAAGUUAUAAUUGUAUUUUGCCAUUCAUUAUAAAAAGGUCAACAUUUAUCUAUGGUCCCUCAGAGAUGCAUAUUAAAGUCCACUUAGUGAUAAAUAAAACAAUUUUUAUAACUAUUUUUAAGUCAGAUGCUUAGACGAAUUUGGUGAAUUCGAUCAGGACAGCAGAUUUUAUUAGAGAAAAAGAGCACUGUUAUGUGAAGCUCACCUAGUAGAUGAUUUUAAAUGACAUUGUACACCCUGAGUUUCUAUUUAAAAAGAAAUAGUAAGGACAUUGCAUUUGAAAUACUUUUAGAAACAUCCCCUAUUCAUGGUCAAUUAUUAUUUAGUCUAUUUUUAAGAAGCUUUAUAUUCUAACCAGAAAACAUCACUAGAGCUUAGACCACUACUCUUUACACCACUUCCUCAGUGGGUAGAAUAAUAUCAAUAGGCAGCAGCCUUUUCUAGCACAGGCAUUCCACCCCCAGUUUAAGUGAGAGCUGUGUGUAUCUUGGCAAGGGGUGGUGGAUCCAGGUGUUUGGAGUCUGAAUUUAUAUAAUCUGAGAGUCCCUCUUAAAAAAGAACACAAAAUUAUUAAUAAAAAAUGAAGUGCAGGGCCUUGGAAGAAGGAGGAAGCUCUGAAGUUUCAGCUUCAUUGACCUUAAGAUAAACUACCUCUCUAAGCAAGAGGACAAGGAUUGUUCUGUUACCUGCACUACCUAUUUGACUGUUCUGAAGGAUGUAAAUCAGAAUCAGUUCAUACUAAACUUGAAAUGAUACCUUCUGCCUCUUUCUUCUUUCCUUCCCUUCCUUCCUUUCUUCCACACCUAAUUAUGUUUCAGGCACUGUGACCUGCAGUGAGAAUCAAUGGUAUACAAAGCCAGACCCAGACCCUAAGGUUGGAGAAUUUACACUCCAGUCUAUGAGCCUGUCUCCUCUGCUAGACAGUGGAGCUUCACAAAAGCUGGAUUAUAGCUCCAUCCAUCUUUGCUCACCACUUUGUCCUAAGGCCUGGAACUUUUUAAAAACAUUUUUAGUGUUUUAAACAUAUUUAAUAUUCUUUUUAAAAACAGCUUUAAUGAGGAGUUCCUGUCGUGGCUCAGUGGUUAACGAAUCUGACUAGGAACCAUGAGGUUGCGGGUUCGACCCCUGCCCUUGCUCAGUGGGUUAAGGAUCCGGUUUGAUCCCUAGCCUGGGAACCUCCAUAUGCUGUGGGAGCAGCCCAAGAAAUGGCAAAAAGACAAAAAAAAAAAAGCUUUAAUGAAAUAUAAUUGAUAUGCAAAAAACCUGCAUAUAUUUAAUAUGUACAAUUUGAAGAGUUUGGACAUAAAUGCAUAUACCCAUGAAAUCAUCAUCACAAUCAAAUCCUAUCCCUAUCCAUUACCUCCAAACAUUUCUUCAUGCCUUUUUGUUCUGUUUUUGUGGUAAGGACUCUCAACUUGAGGUCUACCCUCUUAAAAAUGUUUUAGUGCACAGUAUAGUAUUGUGAACUACAAGCACUAUAUUCUAUAGCAGAUCUCUGAAACUUAUUCAUCUUAUGUAAGUGAAACUCAUACCCAUUGAACAACUUCCUUUUUCUUGCCCCUCCAGCCCCUGGCAAUCACCAUGUCACUCUCUGCUUCUAUGAAUUUAACUACUUUAGAUACCUGGUGUAAGUAAUGGCUUUCUUUGCUGUGCAGAAACUUUCUAUUUUGAUGUAGUCCCACUUGUAUCUUUUUGCUUUUGUUGCCUUUGUUUUUGU
rnacentral:lncRNA from 1 species